UACGAGGGGGGCGAGCGUUGUUCGGAAUUAUUGGGCGUAAAGGGUGCGUAGGCGGUUCCGCAAGUCCUGUGUGAAAUCUUCGGGCUCAACUCGAAGUCUGCACGGGAAACUGCGGGGCUUGAGUGUGGGAGAGGUGAGUGGAAUUCCCGGUGUAGCGGUGAAAUGCGCAGAUAUCGGGAGGAACACCGGUGGCGAAGGCGGUUCUCUGGGCCUGUACUGACGCUGAGGAGCGAAAGCGUGGGGAGCGAACAGG
rnacentral:rRNA from 1 species